rnacentral:RNase_P_RNA from 1 species
AAAGCGAGCGAGGCAAUCGCCGGCGUAGUUUCGAAAGGACGCGCGGGAGGAAAGUCCGAGCUCCAUAGGGCAGGGUGCUGGGUAAUCCCCAGUGAGAGUGAUCUCAAGGAAAGUGCCACAGACAUGAAGACCGCCGAUGGAUAGCAACAAAGCUUUCACAGGCAAGGAUGCAACGGUGCGGUAAGAGCGCACCAGCGGUGCGAUGACGCAUCGGCUAGGUAAACCCCACCUGGAGCAAGACCGCAUAGGAGUGCUAC